GCUUCCUUAGUUUAGUGGCAGAACACUGCCUUGUGGCGGCAGGAACGCGAGUUCAAUUCUCGCAGGGAGCA